rnacentral:misc_RNA from 1 species
UUAACUAUUUAUAAUAGUACUCAGACGACAUAAUUAUCAGAGUUUUGAAUCCUCUGGCAGGCACGGGCCAGCCGAAGCCGGCGGUCCGAAGACGGGCCUGCCAAAGCAACAAAGUAUGUAAACAGAGGGUGGGAGAUCUACCCCAGAGGGCAAGUUCUCAUUAAUGAUCCUUCCGCAGGUUCACCUACGGAAA